UCACAACUAUAACAUACAAAGUAAGAUCACAACAUCAUGAAUUUUGCAAUCCAUGUUUAGUAACAACUGAGACACCACCAGAAAAUGACUCUUGUACUAAUUCAACAAGUUACAUUUCUCAGGCCAAGACUCGGUCAGCUAACGCCUUUCUUAAUCGUCUUCAAAUGACAACCACCAUCAAGGUGAACACUCUUAUCAACAAUGUACUUACUUAUGUUGAUGACAAGUAACAGUGAGAAGCAAUGCUUACACAAAUCAUACAGUAACUAAUACACACCAUUUAUAUUCACUAGAGUCAAGCUUGUGUUAUAUAUUAGUCUAGGAAUGGUUAGGAUGUAUGAAACUUGUUAUCUCCUCCAUUAAGCAUCGAAAAUGAUCGUUAUUAGGCAAGAAAUAGAAACCUAUGGUUGCUUGCUUUAGAUACAACAGAUUCACCUCAUGCCCUGAUUUCUUUAACCCUUCAACAUAAUUGAGUUGCCAAUCUUGAACAAGAUCUAACCCUGCUACAACAACUAAACUCUUUGGAAAUUUAAGUCCUUGGAGUGUUUUACCUCUGGGGCCAAAUAUAUUACAAGCUGGAUGAUCUCUAUCUUCACCUACUGGCAAAUAAGCUCUCCAAUACCAAUCCCUAUCUUGAACUGUCACAAAGUAUUUACCAUCCAAUCUACUCUCUGACUCAGUUCGAUUUUGUCCACCAAACAUGGGAUGCAAAAGAAUAUUUCCUAAAACCUCGACGCCUGAUUCAGCAGCCUGAACAGCAACAUGAUGAGCUAUGUUACCACCAGAACUAUCACCACUCAUAUACACAUGAACUUUCAAAUCCUCUCCACUUUGAAGCCAUGCUCUAGAUUUUACCCAUUGAAGAGCAGCCCAUCCAUCAUCAUAAGCACAAGGAUAUCGAUUCUCAGGAGAUCUUCGAUAAUUCACAGAUACAACAACAGCCUUACAUAAACUAACAAGACGACGACAGAAUGUGUCGUAAAUAGCACUGUUAGCUGAUGAAUGAGUAAAGCUUCCACCGUGGAAGAAGAUAAUGACAGGGACAAUCUCACUAGUACUGAGAGGUGUAUCAAGAUCAAUUUUACCCCAAUCACACUCAUUUUUCGGGGCAGGUUUGUAAACACGGUUAAGUAAGCUGGUACACCGAUCAACAACAUCAAAUGAAUAAACACCAUCAACUGGAAUCGAGUUAGCACCAACUUUUCUUUCUAAAAACUCAGCUAAAUCACGGUUAAAUGUUCCAUCAGAUCGUCGUAGCAUGUUGUAAGCUAACUUGAAAUUCGAUAUAAGUAUCCAUGUAUUAAGUGGAACCACCCUCUUAGAUUCAUUAGUGUUGAUCUCUUUAGUGUCCACCAUGACUUAAAAGUGAUUAAAGAUUGAAACUUUGGAGUAGAAAUUUAAAAGGGUGUAGUGAUCUUGAAGAAUACAAGGUUCAUAAUGAGUGGUCCAAA
rnacentral:misc_RNA from 1 species